rnacentral:lncRNA from 1 species
AUUUAGUUUAGUUCCUCUAUUCUGGACAUUGAAAGGGAUAAUAUUUACAUCCUUGGGGAGAGAAGUCAGUGUUCAAGAGGUGACAGGAGCAUUGUUUUUAGUAAUAAGAAAUAUUUAAAGCAUCUUUCAAAGAGAAAGAAUUUUACCUUCACAGAAUUUUUUUCCAUAUAAGACCAAACAAUGGUUCUAUAUCAGUAACUUUUAGAACUGAGAGGAAAAAAGUAAAUGGUAUUAUGGCUAGCCUGUGAACCAAGUAGGUCUUACAAUCUUGUAAACAUUAACUUUUGUGUUGAGAGAAAUAAAAAAUAACAGUAUUCCAGAAGCACCUGACACAAAUUCCAGAAUUAACCAAAGAAUUGUUUAUUUCAAAAAUUGGAAGUCAAUUUACAAAUAUAUUCUUCAGCAAUGGGGAAUUUCUCUAGAUAUAUUUAUGUCAGAUGAAUUUGUACUUAUAUACAGCCUUCCUUUCCAAAAUAAAUGUUUUGUAAGAAACUAACGGCUGAAAGACAACUAAUUUCUUCAAAUAUAUUUUGAAGUUCUCCUAGAGAGCUGUGUUUGUAAUCACUUUAACAAUUUUUAAAACAGUUUCACAUUGUUGAAGUUAGAAUAAAGUUUCCAUUUCUUCUUAAUAUUAGUGUGAGACUUUAUAGGUUCUUUUGGUAUUUAAUAUUGAAUAAAAUGAAUAUUAAACUUAAAUUACUUACAUACCUG